AUGGCUCAGAGCGAACGUUAGCGGCGGGCUUAACACAUGCAAGUCGAGCGAGAGAGUGACUUCGGUCAUGAGUAAAGCGGCAGACGGGUGAGGAACACGUAGGUAAUUUCCGCUUAGUGGGGACAACGGUCCGAAAGGACCGCUAAUACCGCAUACGUUCUUGGGACUUUGGUCUUGGGAAGGAAAGCUGGGCAACUGGCGCUAAAUGAGAAGCCUGCGUCGCAUCAGCUAGUUGGUGGGGUAAUGGCCUACCAAGGCGAAGACGCGUAGCUGGUCUGAGAGGAUGAUCAGCCACACUGGAACUGAGACACGGUCCAGACUCCUACGGGAGGCAGCAGUGGGGAAUAUUGGACAAUGGGCGCAAGCCUGAUCCAGCCACGCCGCGUGAGUGAUGAAGGCCUUCGGGUCGUAAAGCUCUGUGGGGAGAGACGAACCGCUGGGGUAACCCUUCAGCAUGACGGUAUCUCCUUAGCAAGCACCGGCUAACUUCGUG
rnacentral:rRNA from 1 species